UAGGUGCAACUGAGGGGGGCCGCAUCAGUUAUUGAAGCUGCAUUGCUGAGUGAGGUCAAACUACUGCAAUGAUCAGAAUCACAGACAAGUGAGGUUCGAUGGGUCAAAGUACUUAUGCCAAGUGUCCUUACUUAUGAGAGAGGAAACAUAAAUGAAAGUACAUAUGCAUACUUAUGGAUGUUCAUGCAGACAUUUUUAUUUCUGGAUUCAUUCGCUACGCUCAACAAACUUGAAUUUGAAGGGGAUAUUUGGUUUAACAAAGAACUGAGUCUUGAAGGCAUUGUCGAUGGGAUAAUCGAAACCGAUGUCGAAAUUGCGUAUCAGCCUGGCAACGGCAAUUUCCAAUAUCAUGUCGACAAUACGUUUACCAGCACAGGAACGUGGACCGAAACCAAAUGGUAUAUACAUGAAUGGAGUGGUUGUCUCGCCCACUAGAGUUGAAUUGGAUUGAUCGCGUAGCCAACGUUCGGGUAGAAACUCACGAACUUUGGGAACAAACUGCUCCACAUUGGCCAUUUGGAAGUUGGCUCCAGUGCCGACAUCAGUGCCAGCCACAACACGAUAACCACUAAGGACCACAUCGUGGGGCAUGCGACGCAAAGUACCUGGACCAAUGGGAUACAGACGAAUGCCUUCCUUUAUGCAGGCACGUAAAUAUGGCGUGCCUGUUGUGCUGGAUUCUUUGCCAGGCUAAAUAGAAUGCCACUAAGGCUGACCAAGGUCUUUACAAAUGAUAAAAUGGAUCUGAACCAGCGAAUAACAAGUCCAGGGCUAUUAUAACUGCUGUUUCUCGAUCAACGUUUGCCAAUUUCUCCAACAAACUCUUCUCCAAGCCAAUCUCUGGGCUAAUAUUACCGGCUUUAGCAUCUUCUUCUAUCUUCUUGAGAGCGUGUUCAAUAUGCCCAUAGCAAAUAUUGAGAAUUGUAUCAAAUUGUCUCAUUAGACGCUUGAAUUUUGGCACUGGCAAAUAUUUCCAAAAGGGUGGCAAGAUAUCCAACUCGAAACCCGCUUCCAGAACAUCCUGUAAAGCUGUUGUAAGCUGCUUGCCCUCAGCACUGUUACGAUUCUCGCCAAGGAGACCCAAUCUAGCAUUUAGGGCCACCGAGCCAAUGGAUUCCAAGACCAAAAAGCGAAUAUCCUCAACGAAAUCAUCAGGCAUUUCGUUAGUGCCCGGAUCACGAAUCAAGCGUAUGCUUCAAAGGAUUAAACCAUACUAUAAGAAUCCUUUGGCGAAUCAUCAUAUCAACUUACCGCUCUAUAAACUCAUCGUUGACUUGCAGUAAAUUAUUCAUGUAUAAUUUGGCAUUUCGUGGUUGAAGCAGUAUGGGAUUCACGGCCGUUCUCAUUUUGCCCCAAGCUGGGCCAUUACUAGAAUAUUUGGAAUAUUUGUAAAAAGCAUAAAUUGUUUGGCAUUUAAGGCCCACCCCGAUGUUAGGCCAUCUUUAUCGCCAAAUAUAUCAUUUCUCUGCACUCUUUUGAAGUAUUCAAAUGUCUUGAAGCUUCGUCGAUAUGGCAGUGCUCCUUCGUUCCUAAAGAUCACCGAGUAAUCUUCAGGAUUCAUGGUGAACACCAUAUCCACACCGGCCACACUUGGCAUGCGGAAAAUGUUGCCAUAACGUUCCUUCAAAUCCAAGAACAUAUGAUGUAUAGGCGCAUUAUGAUAGCGACCUGUAAUUGGUCAAAGAAUGGAAGAUUAUAAAUAGAGAGAGAGAUUAAAAGAGGGAGAAAGAGAGAGAGAAAGUUGUCACACUAUUUCUUUGUUGCUUUCCCUUUCAAUCGUAUGUACAUACCGCCUGGCAAAAAAGCUCGAAACAUAUGAAAUCUACUGGGGCCCGGCAAAUCCGCAUAAGGCUUGGCCUGUUCUAGGCUCACCGGCUCCACCGUUGAAGAAGCCUACAAAGACAUUUGUUAUAUACUAAAAUAUAUAGAAAAUACUGUACAAUAA